GAUGAACGCUGGCGGCGUGCCUAACACAUGCAAGUCGAACGGGGUUUACGCGCUGAUGAAGCUUCGGCAGAAUCUUGAGUAAACUUAGUGGCGGACGGGUGAGUAACGCGUGGGCAACCUGCCCUGUACUGGGGGAUAGCAGCUGGAAACGGCUGGUAAUACCGCAUAAGCGCACAGCACCGCAUGGUGCAGUGUGAAAAAGCUCCGACGGUACAGGAUGGGCCCGCGUCCGAUUAGCCAGUUGGCGGGGUAACGGCCCACCAAAGCGACGAUCGGUAGCCGGCCUGAGAGGGCGGACGGCCACAUUGGGACUGAGACACGGCCCAGACUCC
rnacentral:rRNA from 1 species